UUUAUACAGACAAACGGAAAAUGAAAACAGAGGAUCAGAAUUAAUUCUGAAGACAGCUGACCUCAUGAGCAAGUUUCUGUGCCUUUAUUCACAUCACUUGUUCCUCCCUGUGUACCACCCUCGGAACCAUGUGGAAUAGUUCUUGAAAAUCGGAUAAAAGGGGGGAGAAAUCUGCAAUUAAAACAAGGAGAUACGCUCUUAAUGGAGAAGAACACAGCCAAUGAGGCCACGCUUUCCUGUCUCCAGAGCUACUAAAAUAA